GGCUGGGCGGGGCCGGACGUGAGCGAAUUUCCGCGGGGCGGCGGGGCCGCCAUGGCGGCAAAAAGUCCUCCUGAUAGUACUCCAAGAAGGCCUGUUUUAUCUGUCAGUGCAAGAAAAAUUAAAGAUAAUGCAGCAGACUGGCAUAAUUUAAUGAUGAAAUGGGAGAGACUGAAUGAUAAUGGAUUUACUACAGCAAACAAAAUAGUCAACAUGAGGAUCGGUGAGCAAUUUCAAGACAAGAAACUGGAGAUAGCAUGUGAUAACAAUGCCACAGAACCUGAAAAGCCAACCCGAAAGUACAAUGAAGAGCUGGACAAUUGCUGUGCAGAAUUACUUGAGACCUUAAAUCAUAUGACAAAAAUACAACUAAAAAUGGAAAAGCUUACUUCAACUACUAAAGCAAUCUGUGACUUGGAAACAUUCCACCAUGGAGCUGGGAAUUGCACGGCACCCUUCUUUCAUACAUGGCCCACACCAUACUUCUAUGAGGUUUCUCUGAAGCUGUCUGAAAUGUACAAGAAGGAACUACAACUCAAGCAAACAAUUGUACAAGACAUUGCUCAUUCUGCUGACCAGGAUCUGAUGAUGGUGUAUUUAUCAUCAUGGUUGUACCAGCCUUACAUUGAGAACAGCAGCAUGCUGCUGCUCGAAGCCAUGCUGCUGGAAACAGGACACAGGCAGUGCUAGAAUUCUAAAGGUUACAUGGCUGGCUCCUAGUGAUGCUUAUAUGAAACUGAUUUGGCAUGUUGCAAGGCUUACCAAGUGGAAAUUGUGGUUUGUUCUCAUUUCUUAAGAAGAAAAAAGCUCUUCAGGAAGGGGUCUUCACAUUCAAGACCCUCUUGCUUAUUGACUGUUGUUGGGUAUUGGAAGAUUACUGCAAAAUCACUGCAGAGAUGUUUUGUCAUUCUACCUCUAGGCAGUUGAUUGUUGUAUUUGUAGCCCUCAAAUAUAAUUAUUAGACAGUCAGUACAAAAGAGGAUCAUAAAGAAUUGCUCACUGCAAUCAACGACUUUGAAAGAUCAGCAGAAUUUUGCUUUGUAUGCUACCUUCACUUACAAGGUAGGUCUGUAUCCUCUGUAAAAGCGGGAAAAAAAACCCAAAACAAAUAGUUACUUGUUAAUGUGCAGUAUCUUUCACAACUAGUCAUAAAAGGCAACAUUUUGGGUAAUCAAAUUCAUCUUCUACUAUCUAUGCAACCAAGAAAAAAAAACCAAAAAAGCCUAACCCAAAUAUGUUUAAAGGGAUGUAGAGCAGUUUAUUUAAUCUGCAAAUUGCAUUCUGUUUAGAUUCAAUUUUAGUGUUUUUCUUCAGUCACAAUACCAUGAAAAAGAAUCAGUGUUCAUACUCAAUUUAAGAACAACUCUCCUGUCCUUGGCAGAUUUGUCCAAUUGUCCCAGUAGCUGCAUCUAUUCAGCAAUGAGGUGACACACACUUUUUAAGGAUGUUAUCACUUUUCA